AGAAGGGAAUGAGAAUUCACUAGGUGCUCUGCUUCCGUUCCCACCCCGUUUAUCUCGAUGACGGAUUUCACCAAUCCCACAGAGCACGUUUUACAAAUGAGAGAGCCGUGGCUCAUAGCAUCGUCACAGCCAUGAGUGAGACAUGAAGCCCGUUUUACAUAUGAAGAAAUGUCAUUUGGGCCUAGACAUCAACAAUGAGAAAGAGGCAGUUCUGGUCUCAGAUCGUGGGGCAGAGAAAGCUCCUUGGGAACAUGAGAGAGGAAGCAGUUGGUGCAUUGUAGAAACUGCCCGAAGGCCAGCAGGGCUG
rnacentral:sRNA from 1 species